CUCCGUCAGCACGCUGAGACAGAACAGAGAGAGGUCACGGUCAGACACGCCGGACGAUCAGGACUAUGGAUCGCUCCAGCACAAACGUGGACACGCUGCCGUUGAUCCCGAUCAGGAUGUUGACGCUGGUCAGGACCACGUAGGCCGUGCUGGGGAUCUUGAAGAAGAACGACGCCGGGUACAUCAGGGGGGUGAUGGACCACCUGGACCAAUCCCAAAACAACAGAGCAGCAGUAGCAGCGCCAGGACGGGCAGGUUGGUGGAGGAGACGUAGGCCUCCUGCUGGAAGCAGAUGAAGAUGAUGAUGACCAGGG